rnacentral:misc_RNA from 1 species
GAUGAAGAACGUAUCGAAAUGCGAUAAGUAAUGUGAAUUGCAGAAUUCCGUGAAUCAUCGAAUCUUUGAACGCACAUUGCGCCCCCUGGUAUUCCGGGGGGCAUGCCUGUCCGAGCGUCAUUGCAACCUUCAAGCGCGGCUUGUGUGUUGGGUCUCGUCCCCCGUGGACGGGCCCGAAAGGCAGUGGCGGCGUCCCGACAUGGUGCCCGAGCGUAUGGGAAUCCUCUUCCGCUCGAAUCGGCCCAUGCGGCGCUGGUCGUAACCAAAUUUUUUACCGGUUGACCUCGGAUCAGGUAGGGAUACCCGCUGAACUUAAGCAUAUCAAUAAGCGGAGGA